rnacentral:lncRNA from 1 species
ACUCCAACAGAAUUGCCACCGUGUCAGUCCCUCUAAAGAUCAUUUCCUGAGAUUGCAACAUAUUUCCAAUUACACAAACGUGUGAAGAUUAAAUAAAACACGAUGAUAAUAAAGAAAAAGUCAAGGAAAAGAAAUGCAUCACCAUGACAAAGCAUAAAUUGUAAAGCAUAAGAAACAAAGACAGGAAAGAAAGAAAAGAAAGAAAAUGAAUCUUAUCACGGUGAAAAGAGAAACUAUUCAGAUUCUCAAUAUCUAUGGAUGCCCAAAAAAACAAACUUAAAGAAAAGACCUGGCUAUUUCAAGCAUCAAUGUAACAGUAACAAAGAGGGAAAAUGCAUAAAAAGGCUAAAAACUAAAACAUGAAAAACCUAGUGAAUGCAACCACAAAAAAAAGGUCUAAUGAGAAAAAAAAACCUUUGUCAAGAUGUGCUGGGGAAGCACACCAAGAACAGAAAAUGAACAUAUUUCUACAGUAGGUGAUGAACCUGACAAUAGAAUGUUUGAAGGCGCUUACCCAUAAAACAGCAAUCAUAUCAGAGUCGCUGAGCCUGCUUUCCUUUUCCAAAUCGAGUAAGACGUCAACAAAAUCGCCUGAACUGUCAUCACCAUCACGACCCACUUCUCCAUCACCAACCCUCCUGAGCCUGUGCUCAUCUAUGAUCCUGGAAACAAAAACGUUCACCUUCGAAACCAACUUUUUGCAUCUCUUUCUCACUCCUUGCAAGUCCAACCACCCGAGAAGCGGUAAGUGGUCACUCCAGUUGAAUAUACCAAGCAGUUCGUACCCUUCACUCACCAGGCUCUCAAGCUCAACCGCAUCACCAGAAACACCUUUUCCAAAGUCGUAGCUCCUUCCAAACACGCUCAUCAUCACAUUGUUCAAAGACCCAAAAUGCAACACUUUCUUCACCUUCACCUCACCUUUCUUCUCCAUCAAAACCCUAAUCUCAUCCACCAUUUUCAACCCAAUAGUCCUCCGAAACUCCCCGAAACCAGCGAUUCUCCUCGGACUGAACAAAUGGGUGGCCGAAAUCCUCCUCAGAUUUCUCCAGUACACCCCGAACGGAGCAAAACCCAUUGCUCGGUGGAAUAAAAGCUCAUAAGCCGACUCCUUCACUGGUCGGUCCGCGAACGCCGAACUGUUCAGAAUCUCCUUGGCUGUUUCCGGUUGGCUGGAGAUAAUGAAACGAGUAAAGCCAACCGAAAAAGCCAUCAAUGGCGCAGCUUCAGAAACACGAGCCAGCUUGGCCAGAACCCUAUGAGUCAGAGAGCCAGUGAAGGCGAAAACAAGACCUAUCAGAGGUAACCCAGAAGGGCCAGGAAUGGCGCUACGUGCUUUAGCCUUGGACAUAGCCCAAGCUAAACCACCAG